rnacentral:rRNA from 1 species
GGCCUGGCCGUGCGGUCCGCCUUCUGGGUGAGUACUGUCUUCGCGCCGGGUCUCUUUUUCUGGUGAGCUAGUGUGUCCUUUACUGGGCGCGUUAGGGAACCAGGACUAUUACCUUGAAAAAAUUAGAGUGUUUAAAGCGGGCAUUUGCUUGAAUACAUUAGCAUGGAAUAAUGAAAUAGGACGGACGGUUCUAUUUUGUUGGUUAUGGGACCACCGUAAUGAUUAAGGGAUAGUUGGGCAACUCCCGU